CACCCUUGUCCCUGCUUUGUCCCAGGCUGGCCCUGCAUAACUCCCGUUUCCUGAGUCUCUGCUCUGAGCUGGAUGGUCGAGUCCGGCCCCUCGUGUACACCCUCCGCUGCUGGGCUCAGGGUCGGGGGCUGUCAGGGAGUGGCCCCCUUCUCAGUAACUACGCCCUGACCUUGCUGGUGAUCUAUUUUCUUCAGACCAGGGACCCUCCUGUGUUGCCCACUGUGUCUGAGCUCACCCAGAAAGCAGGAGAGGGGGAACAGGUGGAAGUCGACGGCUGGGACUGCAGUUUCCCCAGGGAUGCCUCAAGACUGGAGCCCAGCACAAAUGUGGAGCCCCUCAGUGAGUUUGGGGAGCCUGGUAGAGGACUAGUAAUGAUAUUCAUCAACAGUAGGUAACAUAUAUCACACUAACUGUGUGCCAGGCAUGGUUCUCACAGAAAGCCUGUGAGAUACCUAAUAUUAUUACUGCCAUUUUACAGAUGAAGAAACCAUGUUUGGGAGCAAUUAAGUGACUUGCCCAAGGUUACACUGGCUAGCAAGGAGCAGCAGCAUCUGGGCAAGGACAUCAUGUGGGGGCAGGGAGAGAGGUUUGACCUCUUGUUUAUAGGGAUCAGAGAAGCCUAGCUUCCUGGGACUCUGCUGAGCCCCUUGGAAGGGAAAAAGAAAGUCCUGCUAAGGAAAUGGCUCUGGUGCAGGACCUGUAUCAGUUCUGGCCUCUAAGUGACCCCCCCUUUCCCCACUCUUCCUCCUCCUCCAGG
rnacentral:sRNA from 1 species